rnacentral:lncRNA from 1 species
AAAAAAGGGUGCACAAUGUAUACCCUAAAAGCCAUGAAAAUUUCAAAAAAAAUUUGGAUAAAUUCAGUGCAAAAUUGAAAGAGUUUUGGAUUUCUAAAACUCUAUCCCAUAGAAUUCGAAAUCCAAACUUAUUCCUUUUUGAUUUGAUCCAAACCACCUUCCAUGUAAGAAAGAAGAGAGGAGACCUUUUGUGAAUGUGGGAGAGACCUGGG